rnacentral:rRNA from 1 species
AGAGUGAACGCUGGCGGUGCGCCUAAAACAUGCAAGUCGAGCGCCCCUUCGGGGGAGCGGCGGACGGCUGAGUAACACGUUGGAACCUACCCCAGACUCAGGUAUAACUCCGAGAAAUCGGAGCUAAUACCGGAUGGUCUCGUAAGAGUAAAGCUUUUGCGGUCUGGGAGGGGCCUGCGGCCUAUCAGCUUGUUGGUAAGGUAACGGCUUACCAAGGCUAUGACGGGUAACUGGUUUGAGAGAACGACCAGUCAGAAUGGGACUGAGACACGGCCCAUACUCCUACGGGAGGCAGCAGUUAGGAAUCUUCCGCAAUGGGCGAAAGCCUGACGGAGCGACACCGCGUGGGGGAUGACACCCUUUCCGGGCGUAAACCCCUGUUCUGAGGGAACAAAUUUUUGAGGGUACCUCAGGAGAAAGCAUCGGCUAACUACGUGCCAGCAGCCGCGGUAAGACGUAGGAUGCAAGCGUUACUCGGAAUCACUGGGCGUAAAGCGUCUGUAGGCGGUUAGAUAAGUCGGCGGUUAAAGGUGGGAGCUCAACUCCCAUUACGUCGCGGAAACUGUUUAACUUGAGCAACUCAGAGGCACCUGGAAUGUCGUGUGUAGGGGUAAAAUCCGUUGAUUCACGAUGGAAUGCCAAAAGCGAAAGCAGGGUGCUGGGGGUUUGCUGACGCUCAGAGACGAAAGCGUGGGGAGCGAACGGGAUUAGAUACCCGGUAGUCCACGCCCUAAACGAUGCGUGUUCGGUGUGGGGGUUUUGCUUUGAUCAAGCCUCCGUGCCUUAGCUAACGCGGUAAACACGCCGCCUGGGGAGUACGGCCGCAAGGUUAAAACUCAAAGGAAUAGACGGGGACCCACACAAGCGGUGGAGCAUGGGGUUUAAUUCGAUACUAAGCGGGGCACCUCACUGGAUUUGACAUCCCGAGAAGAUUCUAGAAAUAGAAUUGUGCCGCAAGGAACUCGGCGACAGGUGCUGCACGGUCGUCGUCAGCUCGUGCCUUGAGGUGUGUUGUUAAGUCAAUGAACGAGCGCAACCCUCAUCCUAUGUUGUAUUUUCAUGGGAGACCGCCGGCUCCAAGCCGGAGGAAGGUGGGGAUGACGUCAGAUCAGCGUGGCCCUUAUGUCCAGGGCGACACCCGUGCUACAAUGGCCGGUACAAUGGGUAGCCAAGCAGCAAUGCGGAGCCAAUCCCUCUAAAACCGGUCUCAGUUCGGAUCGAAGGCUGCAAUUCGCCUUCGUGAAGUUGGAAUCGCUAGUAACCGUGAAUCAGCCACGUCACGGUGAAUAUGUUCCUGGGUCUUGUACUCACCGCCCGUCAAGUCAUGAAAGGCAGAAACACCCGAAGCACCGUUACCCCAG